UGCCUCCAUAGCUCAGCGGAUUAGAGCAGUGGGUUUCUACCCCAUGUGUCGCAGGUUCGAUCCCUGCUGGGGGCACCCA
rnacentral:tRNA from 1 species